UACGAAGGGGGCAAGCGUUGCUCGGAAUCACUGGGCGUAAAGGGUGCGUAGGCGGGUCUUUAAGUCAGGGGUGAAAUCCUGGAGCUCAACUCCAGAACUGCCUUUGAUACUGAGGAUCUUGAGUUCGGGAGAGGUGAGUGGAACUGCGAGUGUAGAGGUGAAAUUCGUAGAUAUUCGCAAGAACACCAGUGGCGAAGGCGGCUCACUGGCCCGAUACUGACGCUGAGGCACGAAAGCGUGGGGAGCAAACAGG
rnacentral:rRNA from 1 species